GACGAACGCUGGCGGCGUGCCUAAUACAUGCAAGUAGAACGCACAGUUUAUACCGUAGCUUGCUACACCAUAAACUGUGAGUUGCGAACGGGUGAGUAACGCGUAGGUAACCUGCCUGGUAGCGGGGGAUAACUAUUGGAAACGAUAGCUAAUACCGCAUAAUAUUGAUUAUUGCAUGAUAAUUGAUUGAAAGAUGCUAUUGCAUCACUACCAGAUGGACCUGCGUUGUAUUAGCUAGUAGGUGAGGUAACGGCUCACCUAGGCGACGAUACAUAGCCGACCUGAGAGGGUGAUCGGCCACACUGGGACUGAGACACGGCCCAGACUCCUACGGGAGGCAGCAGUAGGGAAUCUUCGGCAAUAGACGAAAGUCUGACCGAGCAACGCCGCGUGAGUGAAGAAGGUUUUCGGACCGUAAAGCUCUGUUGUAAGAGAAGAACGGGUGUGAGAGUGGAAAGUUCACACUGUGACGGUAUCUUACCAGAAAGGGACGGCUAACUACGUG
rnacentral:rRNA from 1 species